rnacentral:hammerhead_ribozyme from 1 species
GCACUGCUGAAGAGCCCCAUAAUAGGACGAAACGGUCGUCCAGUGC